rnacentral:rRNA from 1 species
UACGUAGGGUGCAAGCGUUGUCCGGAAUUAUUGGGCGUAAAGAGCUCGUAGGCGGUCUGUCGCGUCGGCUGUGAAAACCCGGGGCUCAACCCCGGGCCUGCAGUCGAUACGGGCAGGCUAGAGUCCGGCAGGGGAGACUGGAAUUCCUGGUGUAGCGGUGAAAUGCGCAGAUAUCAGGAGGAACACCGGUGGCGAAGGCGGGUCUCUGGGCCGGAACUGACGCUGAGGAGCGAAAGCGUGGGGAGCGAACAGG